UUUUUGCAUAAUCUUGCUCGAUCUACCAGUUUGAGACUUUGAAUGACAAGGAAUCUUUUUCUCUUCUCUUCUUUGUUACGAGAGGGAUUUUUUAGGAGAACUUCAAAUCGUUCACGGAAACCACUUUGUUUUCCAUUGGACUAAUGGUCUGAAUGAAGGCUCAGUGGUCCAACAGAACCUCAGAAGACAGUAGUCACAGUACUCUUGUAACUCAUUCAGAGAAAAAAUGAUCCCUGAGAGAGAGGGAAAGACUAGGCGUCUCCAUCAGGAAAUGAAAAUGGCAAACAUAUAGGUGGGAAAGGUUGGAAAAGGAGUAGAACUUCUUCCUCUGAAUUUGUAGCAUAUCUCUCUCUUUAAAUAGCGCGAACACAAACGCACAAAGACAGAGAGACAGAGAGACAGAGAUUAGAGAGAAUGGAGAAGAAUGAUGGAGGAACCAUGGAGAAUAAUGAGAAAGAUGUUAGAACUCCAGAGCCUAAAAUUAACUACAGAGGAUGGAGAGUCAUGCCAUUUAUCAUAGGGAAUGAGACUUUUGAGAAGCUGGGAGCCAUUGGCACCUUAUCCAACCUCUUGAUCUAUCUUACUAGUGUCUUCAACAUGAAGAGCAUUACAGCUGCAACCAUGAUCAACGUCUUCAAUGGUACCACCAACUUCUCCACCUUGGUUGGUGCUUUCCUCUGUGACACUUACUUUGGUCGCUAUAAGACAUUGGGGUUUGCAACAGUCGCCUCCUUUAUGGGGUUGCUUCUGAUACAACUAACAGCGGCAAUCAAGAAGCUGCAUCCACCCUCCUGCGGAUCAGGAGAGAUUGACACGUGCAAAGGGGCAACAGCAGGGCAAUUGGCAUUUUUACUGACUGGGUUUGGAUCUCUAAUUGUAGGGGCUGCUGGCAUUCGGCCAUGCAACCUGGCCUUUGGAGCCGACCAAUUCAACCCUGAAACAGAAUCUGGGAAGAGGGGAAUCAAUAGUUUUUUCAAUUGGUACUUCUUUACCUUUACUUUUGCUCAGUUGGUAUCCUUGACACUCAUUGUGUAUGUGCAAUCCAAUGUGAGCUGGGCUAUAGGCUUAGGAAUUCCAGCAAUUCUGAUGCUCAUUUCGUGUGCACUCUUUUUCAUGGGUUCAAAAAUGUAUGUGAAAGUUAAAGCCACAGGUAGUCCUGUGACCAGUCUGAUACAGGUCAUAGUGGUUGCUAUUAAGAAAAGGUCGUUAAAACCACCAGAACAGCCAUGGCUCUCCCUCUUCAACUAUGUUCCUCCAAGUUCUAUUAACUCCAAGCUUCCAUACUCCGAGCAAUUCAGAUUCCUGGACAAAGCCGCAAUUGUGACCCCCGGAGAUGAAAUAAACCCAGAUGGAUCAGCAACUGAUCCUUGGAAACUAUGCACCAUGCAGCAAGUGGAGGAAGUGAAGUGCUUGUUCAGAGUGAUUCCUAUAUGGAUUGCAGCCCUCAUAUAUUAUCUUGUCAUAGUUCAACAGAAUACUUAUGCAGUAUUCCAAGCCCAGCAAUCUAACAGACGCCUAGGAAACAGCAACUUCAAGAUCCCAGCUGCAUCCUACAUUGUCUUUUUGAUGCUGAGCUUGACCAUUUGGAUACCCAUUUAUGACAGAAUUGUUGUCCCAUUCCUCGAAAGGCUUACUGGAAAAGAAGGCGGCAUCACAGUCCUCCAGAGGAUGGGAAUUGGCAUAUUUCUCUCCAUUAUCACUAUGCUAGUAUCUGCUCUGGUGGAAGGGCGUCGAAGGACAAUAGCUCUAACCAAGCCAACUCUAGGAGUUGAACCAAGAAGAGGUGCUAUUUCCUCAAUGUCAGGUCUCUGGUUGAUUCCUCAACUAACACUAGCUGGACUAGUUGAAGCAUUCGCAGCUGUUGGCCAAGUUGAAUUCUACUACAAGCAAUUCCCUGAGAAUAUGAGAAGCAUUGGUGGAUCUCUAUUAUAUUGUGGCAUGGGAGGUUCAAGUUAUUUGAGUAGUUUCCUGAUAUCAAUUAUUCAUCGAACAACAAAGGGGGCUGCAACCGGGAAUUGGUUGCCAGAAGAUCUUAACAAGGGAAGAUUGGACUACUUUUAUUACACAAUUGCUGCUAUACAGGUGCUGAAUUUUGGCUACUUUCUAGUUUGUUCAAGGUGGUACAGGUACAAAGGGACUGGCAAGGAUGAUACUCUUGAAGAGAAGCCUGGAUCAACACAAUCUGGAAAAACAAUCGCCUGAUGAUAAACAAGUUCACAGCUAAUCUUUAUUGUAUUAGGCUGUAUAUAUAUAUAUAUAUAUAUAUAUAUAUAUAUAUAUAUAUAUAUAUAUAUAUACACACACACACCAUCUUGAAUAAUAUUUUUAGAGGCAGUUUAAGGUCCAUUACUUAUGUAUCAACUUUAUGUAGGUUCAGAUUAGUUGAAUAGAAAAUGCCAAUUUGUAAUGCAAAGUUAAACUAAAGCAGGAUGCAUGCGUUAACAUAAAUGGGAAACAUGGCAUAUGUAUUUUUAUUCUCCAUUCUCUUGAGAGAUAACACUACAAAAACUUUAUGUAAAAA